GGAAGGGAGUUUUUGGUUGUACACACUGAAGUGACUUGCCGUACUGCAUUGAGACUGCUGACUCCCAAAUGUCAAGUGUUUGCUCCAGCUGCUAAGCGCUAGGACAACUGAUGCUACUCUGAGGACUUUUGAAGGAGGAUCCCCAGGACAAGAGGUCCUGGCUGCUGCUAGGGCCCUGCCAAGCAAAAUUCCCUGACCAGGGCCAGCUGGCCACGAGCAGCAAGAUUCCUGGCUGGCUUGUCAAGUUUUGUUACCAAGUCCAAGCUGUUACUGCCCCACGCACCACAGGCCAGUAAGUCAAGAGACAAGGUAUUGGGGCAAGAAUAGCGACUUUAUUCGGAAAGCCAGCAAGACGACAAGAUGGUAGACUAAUGUCCUAAAUUUUGCAGUAGAAUUCAGGCUGCUUUUAUGCUAAGGAAAAAGGGGAAGCCGGAGGGUUUAAUAAUAAAGGGUAAAGGCAGAUAGCAGACUUCCUGGAGCCACCUGGCCUUCAAGGGAAGCAUAACAUUUCUUUGUUCUUCUGCUUGUUCACAAGGCUGCAUCACGAGGCUUCUGCAAAACUCUGGCACAUCUGUCAACUAAAUAGACUAGACGUAGCCCUGAGCAGCAGCCACGUAGCCCUUAACUAUUUGAUGGUCCAGUUCAAAAAAGAUGAUGAAGACGGCCUUGAGAGCAGCUUAAUCCCAGAACUUGUACGUCCCUUGCUGCUUAUGUGGAAACGUUUCAGUGAAACCACAAAAUAUAUUGGUCCUGUCUGACUCUGCUGCAUGGCGGUUGACUUGGCGUACAUCUAGCCGAAAAGGGGAGCCAGAGAAAUAUGAAUAUACCAGAGUUGCUCAGUUUCCAACUUAAGUUACAUUAACCAACUUAAAGAGGUUCGUAGUAUAGCUUUCCUUUGGUAGAUAUGAUGUCAAAUAGAUUGAGGAACUACAUCAUUUGCAGCGCUUGUAUCGGUUUAGAAUAUAGGAUUCGAAAAAAAAAAAAGAAUAUAGGAUUCGAAGAUCUUCCAACACUGUACUAAAAACAUUUCAAUAAAAUCAUGCUCCUUCUUUCAAAAAAAAAAAAAAACAACUUCAAGUUGUUAGCAGUUAUUUUUACUUUACCACUCUUAUCUCUGCUUAUUCGCAAGGUUUCUAGGCUGAAAGCGAACUUAUCUACAACAAGUAAUAGCCAUAAUGAACCUGGGACUGUGGGAUGGGGACUUUCUUAAGGGAACUUAUUUGGGCACAAGCAACAUUUCUCUAAUGUUUAACUCUUGAUGUGCAGGGCUAAAGUAAUAGAACACAGGGGCCAAAGAGUAAGGGAGGCAGUGUCAACCUGAUGUUAAUUCUGUUCCUCCUCUGCUACAGAUCUGGAGCAGUAACUAUGGCAGCGAUGGGAUUAAAAAUAAACUCUGCUUUCUUGUGUGACCAGAGCACCUACUAUGCUCCCAUAGUAAGCAAACAUUACCAUAACGAGGAAGGUGAAAACCCGUGGGCCAAUCAUUUCCAGGCUCUGGCCUGGAAAUGUGGUGGUACCACCCAUCCGGACCAGACAAAAUGCAGAGUUCUGGGGAGAGAGGCACAAGGGGGGGGCAAGUGAUUCAGAUCUCUGUUCUUAAUCUCCUCACCUGCCAUAUUAGGGAGCCUGUCUUGAAUAUCUCCAGGAUUCUAUCCAACUAUCCUUCCUGGCCUUAUGACAGAUUCCACCCAUUAAGACAGGGGGAGCCCCAGAGCUAAGUUUCUUUCCUCAUUUGUCUGUGCUCAGAGCUACAAGGAGACCCCCCUUUCCACUAUGGGCAACCAGGUGAUCUGCUGUGUGGCCCUUUGUCUGCUCGGAGCAGGCACUGUAGAUGGCAGGGUCACUCAGACCCCAAAAUACCUGUUCAAAGUGGAAGGACGAGAUGUGACCCUGAAAUGUGAACAGGAGUUUGGUUACGACGCCAUGUACUGGUACCGACAGGACCCAGGACAAGGGCUGAGACUGAUCUACUACUCUCAAGUUGUAAAGGAUGUUCAGAAAGGAGACAUAGCUGAAGGAUACAGUGCCUCCCGGGAGAAGAAGUCACUGUUUCCUCUCACCUUGACAUCGACACAGAAGAACCAGACGGCUCUCUAUCUCUGUGCCACUAAUAUAGACACAGUGAAGCAAAGCCACCUCCCCUCUGCCCAUAAAUGCGGCCCAAGCCCUGCUUCCCCACCAGGUGCCGGGGCUUUUCUGUUUUUAGUACCCUGGUCGGCCCCCUUUCUUCCUGCUCAACCAGGCAGCCACAGCAGCUACUACAACGGCGCACGCUGUGGAAUUGGCGCCGUCACAAUUCAGCGGUCCACUGAGUUGAUGUUUAAAAUUACAUAAACCUAUUUAUCCAUAUCUACCUACAUCAGAGAGAGAGGAGAGGGUAAUUUCACAACCCAGAUUUUUUUUUUUCUUUUUUACCAAAUACUGGAAAACAAAAAAUGAACAGAAAAUGGUCCCUUCCUUCAGAAAGAUAAUAAAAGUCUAGUGGGGAGAGAAAUGUGUAGAAACAUACUGUAAUCAAGCGUCAUAGAAUGCGUGCUUUCAUCAGAGGUAUUAGUGGAGUGCAGGAAAUAACACAGUCAGUUCUGUCUGUUGACAUCAGGAAGGGCUUCAAAGGAAAGGCAAAAUGUGAGAUGGAACUCGAGUGUGAGUAGGAUCUCACCACGAGAUGGGAAAACACCAGCAUAGUGAUACAGGCUUAGGGAACUAUGGCAGGAGAAAAUCACGAGAUAAAAUAGGGAAAAGAUGCUCACCACCUCCUCCCCGGAAUAUGGCAAUAGGAGAAAAUUUGGGAAACUGGGUGGAGCAACGUUAUUAAACAAAAUUGGGCUUCUAGUUCUAGUGGGCCUUCCUUGGAUGUGUACAUAGAAAUACCUACCAGGCUCUUGUAAAUGUAGGCUUGGCACUUAGAAGAGUCAGGCUUCAGAGAAAUGUUUGCAUGACUAAUAAGCUGACAGGUGGUCAGUAUUAUUUUGCAAAUGGUCUUCAUAUUUUGUGUAUAUUUUCUCCUUUUGUGGUCUGCCACCAAUCUAUCAAAUUAGGAGGCAAGUGUGUUAAUUCUUGGGACUUCAUUUUGUCACAAAUAUUUAUUUAAUCACAUAGUUCUGUUUCUAGAAAAGAUUGACAGUCCAUGUUAUUCAGACUAACCCUCCCACUGCAUACAGCUAAAAAGGCUGUAUUAAACAUAUUUUUAAAUCAUUCUUGGAAGCAUUUAAGAGUCCCAGUCUCCUCGGCGUGACCCUCUUGGGACAAGCAAUUUGGGGGAACACGUGGGGAGUCCCUGACCAUUACGUACAAGCCUUGGCGCCAGGCAUUUUAUUCAGGUUCCUUUUUGAAUUUUGUGUUAACUUUGGCUUUCUUCUCCCAUAUAUUCUCCCACAUAUUCACACUAGCACCAAAAUACUGAGAAACAGAGAUGGAAAAGAGAUACUAACCCCUUGAAGAGUAUUUAAAACACUAAAAUGUGACAUGAUGAGAAUUCCAAGCCCUCACUGCAGCGAGUGUUCUCUGAAAUAGUAAGGAGAUAGUUGGGAAUGGAUGGAUCUAAGAUCCUUUACUUUGUCCAGACCAUGCUCACAGAUGCCUCCAAAUCAGUCCUCCCCUGAGCUAGCUGAUGCAGUGAUAGACCAGUAGGAGACACAGCCCGUCGAGCUCUCUGCUCCCUGUGUAGAAGCCAUGCUCCAGAAAUCCUGGGAGGGGGUGAGGCUAUCUGUCCAAUGAAAGAAAGGAAAUUAAAGGGAGGACAGUCAGAGAUAAGUAAUCUUAAAUGUAAAAUAGAUAGUAGUGGGAAGCAGCCGCAUAGCACAGGGAGAUCAGCUCGGUGCUUUGUGACCGCCUAG